CGUUUCGUUGGUGACUAUUUCUUUCACACAUAUAUUUUGAUGGGUAUAUUAUUCGGAGGACUAGUGGGAAUUCAACGUAAAUAAAAUCGAAGUUUAGUAGUCUCGUAUAAUCGUGUUGUAUACUGACAAUAAAAUGCCUCGUGCCAAUCCACUUGGCCAAGAAUCAAAAUUUAGAGAUACCAAAUUUGAAAUGAAAUCAUGAUUAACAAGCACUCUCAAUUGCUUGUUUAAUCUAACAGCAAUUCAUUCCUAUUGUUCAUCAUCGUGAAAAAUAUUGGACGAUGUUUUAAUUGAUAGAAACGUCACACUGUAUGUCGCAUAGUUAGAGAGUAGUGGGAAGCUGUCUGAAAUGAGAUGUAUCAAGUUUUUAUCACAGGGUACCGUCUGGUUGCGGUGCCAUACACGAAACCUUACUACGUGUACACUAUCGAGGUCACUAAGCCCAACUCUACCUCUGUACACUCUGUCGAGAAGAGGUAUAGUGAAUUCAACACACUUCACCGUUUGCUGAAAAAAGACACCGAUACGGCUCCAUUUCCACCUAAACGUGUGAGAAAUUCACAGCUGAAAGUAUUAGAACAAAGAAGAUCUGCUUUAGAAUCAUACAUUCAAAAGAUGAUUAGACUUUCUUCCACUAAACAACAAGUUCUCCAUUUUUUGGGUAUCGAUAGUCGGGCUCCAACUACGGGAGAGAGAAUGCAAGGGGAUACUCGGAAUGGAGAUCCAAGGCAGCCUCGAUCGAAUACGCUGAAACACCACCCAGUUUUGACUUUUCAAUGCGAUCCUUAUGUCAGGGCAAACACUGCAUCCAGUCUUCCAGAUAUUGUAACUAACGGAGUUCUCGAGUAUUUCAAGGACUAGUUUGGCCCUCGCUUUGCAAGAGCUUAUUUUUUUGGAUUCAAGAGUCAAGGCUCAACACCUAUUUCGCCUUUAUCUUCCGCAGGAACUUAAAAUUGAAGUCCCUGGUAGAAGUAGUUAUAAAAAACUGUCCCAGCAAAGCUCUUUAUCAGAAAAAUGGGCUCUUCCAGGCGUAUCCGAUCUCUCAUUUGCCGUCUGUUUUCUCCGACUAGUCAAAAGCACCAUGGUAUCUUGGCUACCGGAAUUCUUCAUCCAAAGAGUAGGAUUUAGUGAGUAUAGAACAGAGCUAGCCCUGACGAUAUAUAAAAUAGGUAAUUUGUUUGGCUGUAUCGGUUUCGGUUUGACCGCCAGAAAGGAAACUGUUUUAUUACAAAGUUUAGUUUUACUUGGUAUCGGAACCUUGGGAAUCGUUUUAUUAUGGGUAACAUUAUCAUGGAGUUUUUUGUGGAGCGUUCACCUGUUGGCUAUUGCUGGUUUUGCUAUUGGUGGGCCAAUAGGAGCCCUCAGUGCCUCGUUCCCAGUUUCAUUAGGUGAAUUAGAUGGCAGAAAAUCUGGUGGAACUCUUGUAGGGAUAAUAAACGGUUUCGGUAACAUAGGAGAAUUGCUUGAACACACUAUUCUUAGCUUUGUCAUCGAAACAUACGGAUGGAAUUCGAUGUUCAUCUUAUUGAUAAAUUUGUUAGUUUUUAGUGCCUUCCUAGUGAAUAGAGCACAUUUUGCGACUAACAAAAAGUUAGUAAACAGCAGACAAUAUGAUAUUUAAAUCAAUCGCGGCUUAUUAUCGUUAUUCAUAGAAGUUCUAUUUAGAUUAUUAUAUGACUAUUCUUUAGUAACUAAUAAACUAUUCUCUAAUAACUAAUGAAAUCAGGUAUUACUCAAUAAUAAUGUUGUCAUCAAACUGUUGAAAAAUACCUGAAAAAGAUAAUAUUUUCAACUUUUUAGACAAUUCCAUGCCGUGGUUUGAUAUUAAUAAAAAUUCAUAGUACUGCUGCUAGUAGUUCAAAAAAAUAACGUACGUUAAAUGUGUACUUUGAUAGAGGAUAACAAUUUUUAUUUUUCAUUGUUGUUAUUGAAUCAAAUAUAUCAGCAUUUAUGACUGAAAAAAUUAUAAAAUUUCCUCCAAUAAAUAAACACCUAUGACUUCA
rnacentral:misc_RNA from 1 species